GGAGAAUGGGAGUAGAGACAUGUUACCUGGAGCAGCCUGUGCCGAGCCAUGUGGUCCUGUCACACACCAGGGAGUUUGCCUUGCUGUUGGUGCUGUGGGCAGGCUGUGUCCCACCCUGCACUGGCUGCAGACAAGUGCUGCAGAGGCUGCCCUCACAUCUGCAGGGAAAUUUAAGAAGGAAAAGCAUUAAAUCAGAAAGGUUCUAUUAAACCAGACUGUUACCAGAUAUACAGAAGAACCCACUGGGAUUGGUCUUUUCCUUACUGCUGAAUGAUGCUGUGAACCAUGUGCUUCACUGUUUCCAAUGCUGCUGCUGGCAUUUGUGUCUUUUUCUGAAAGUACACUGUCUCCUCCUCCAAGCCGGUAACCCAUUCCACUAAAAGGCAUCAGAUCUUGAGUACCAUGCGUUUGUGUCUUGCCUGCAAAAUAAGAUUAAAAAAAAAAUUAGUAACUUUUCUGUUUAAAAAUCAUGGGCUUAAUAUUUGACAUGCUUCAUACAAAACCUCUGCUACCUGAAAACAGUGCAUCAAACAAAACUUUAUUUACAGACAAUUCAGUCGAGAAGGAGCCUAGAAAUGCACAAAAAACUCAGGUCCUAUUCUUUGCUAGAUAACAGUAACAUCUAAACAAAGCUUAUGUAGUGGUUGGUCCAAAAAUGUUCCAAGAAAACAUCUGGAAAAAAUCAGUUUGGAAAAGGAAAAGAAAUAAUA